AUUUUGUAGAGAGAAAAAGAUAAAUUUUUUGAAAAAAAAAAAAAAAAAAUACUCAAUGAAAAGAAAUGUUGGUUAGUCGCAGCUUCCUCUUCCCUCCGAUUUACAAACUCACCUUCUUCACCCAAGCCCAACACCCACACACUCGCCUUCUCUUUCAGUCUCAUCGGAUUCAAAUUAUGGCUGCGGAGGCCACCACCUCAUCCAAUACGACCGCGAAGGUGGCGGGGAUGGACUUCCCGACGAAAAAGGCCUACGCUCCUCCUUGGGCGUCGCACAUCAACCCCAUCCCUUCUCACACCUUCCCUCUCGGACACUUUCCCACUCCAAUUCACAAAUGGAAUAUUCCCAAUUUACCCCCAACACUGAGGUCUGGUUUGUUGGAAAUUCAAAUCAAAACAGGUUGUAAAAUAUUGCUGCUAGCUGUUUGUUGCUUUCCAGCUACAAAGAACAAAGUCUCCUCCAUGUGCUAGCCGAAAGGUGUUGAAAGACAGCAAGGAAUGAUGCAGAGCAUGUGUGUAAAAGUGUCUAGCAGCUGGUGCAUAUGUGAAAGGGUGUAAAGAUGGUAAUCACCAUCUGUCGCUGCAUGUGUGUGUGCCAGAUUGUUCUAAGUUCAUUUGAUCUGUUUGAAUGGUUGUAUGUGUUGUUGUAUUUUUUUAUUUAAAGCACUUGAGUGGUUCUUUGCUGUUUGGAAUGUAUAAAUAAGCCUCUCGUAAGGCUUUAAAUGAUAGAGUGUAUCAUCCGAAACAUUAAAUCCAAUUCCCAUUUCCAUUUCAGCUUGUAAGCUCCAAAAGAGUUGUAAACCUCUUUCUAAUAUUUCAAAGUGUUUGUUA